rnacentral:rRNA from 1 species
CCUACGGGAGGCAGCAGUAAGGAAUAUUGGUCAAUGGAGGCAACUCUGAACCAGCCAUGCCGCGUGCAGGAAGAAGGCCCUAUGGGUCGUAAACUGCUUUUGUACCAGAGAAAACCCGAGUACGUGUACUCGGUUGAUAGUAUGGUAAGAAUAAGCAUCGGCUAACUUCGUGCCAGCAGCCGCGGUAAGACGAAGGAUGCAAGCGUUAUCCGGAUUCAUUGGGUUUAAAGGGUGCGUAGGCGGACUGAUAAGUCAGUGGUGAAAUCUCUCGGCUUAACCGAGAAACUGCCAUUGAUACUGUUAGUCUAGAGUAUAGAUGACGUUGGCGGAAUAUGACAUGUAGUGGUGAAAUACUUAGAUAUGUCAUAGAACACCGAUUGCGAAGGCAGCUAACGAAACUAUAACUGACGCUGAGGCACGAAAGUGCGGGGAUCAAACAGGAUUAGAUACCCUGGUAGUCCGCACCGUAAACGAUGAUUACUCGUUGUUGGCAAUAUGACCGUCAGCGACCAAGCGAAAGCGAUAAGUAAUCCACCUGGGGAGUACGCGGCAACGGUGAAACUUAAAGGAAUUGACGGCNGAGAGAGCGACGACGACGACGAGGGAGGAGG